rnacentral:misc_RNA from 1 species
CAUGAUUUUCUUUCAUUAAAAACAAAAUUUAUUGCAUAAUUCAUAACAUGUAUUUUAUGUCAUAUGGCGCAAUGUUGAAAUUGGCCUCUAGCAAGCAAAGCGCCUGUUUGACAAUGGCCUGAGCUUAGCCUAAGCUCUUUAUAGCCCAUCAGGCCUUAAAUUUUAGUCUACAAUGGCACUAUAGCAUUUCUGUGGUGCCAAAGUAAUUCUAUGAUAGUUAUAUAAUCUUUUCCCCAUCAGUUCAGACUACCAAAAUUUAGUCCAACCUUUUGUUUUUAU